rnacentral:piRNA from 1 species
UCAAAGAAACAGUUACUCUAA